rnacentral:rRNA from 1 species
AGUGGGGAAUAUUGGACAAUGGACCAAAAGUCUGAUCCAGCAAUUCUGUGUGCACGAUGAAGGUCUUCGGAUUGUAAAGUGCUUUCAGUUGGGAAGAAGCAAGUGACGGUACCAACAGAAGAAGCGACGGCUAAAUACGUGCCAGCAGCCGCGGUAAUACGUAUGUCGCAAGCGUUAUCCGGAUUUAUUGGGCGUAAAGCGCGUCUAGGCGGAAAAAUAAGUCUGAUGUUAAAAUGCGGGGCUCAACUCCGUAUUGCGUUGGAAACUGUUUUUCUAGAGUACUGGAGAGGUGGGCGGAACUACAAGUGUAGAGGUGAAAUUCGUAGAUAUUUGUAGGAAUGCCGAUGGAGAAGUCAGCUCACUGGACAGAUACUGACGCUAAAGCGCGAAAGCGUGGGGAGCAAA